ACUUUCUCUCCUUCUGUUCCCAUAUUUCAGGGUUUCUAAAAAGAAAAAAUUUUCGAGGUAAUAUGCUUUGUACCCUUUUACUUCUACUUCUUGUUUUAAACCCUUUCUUGCAUGUGAUCUUUGCUGAGACAGUUUAUGCAUGUCUAUGGUCUUGCAUUUUCUUUCUCCAUCUUGCCGAAGUAGAGAGUUCCUUGUGUAGUUGACCUUUGUCAAGGUGAGUCUUUUCAUAUUCCAGAUAUAAGAGGAAAAAAUUCAGCCAAUCUCUUUGCUGUUUACCCGGCAUGAUGACUUUGUGAAGUUAAGUGGCUAAAAUUUCUUGUUUUUGGCUGUUGAUUCUCAUCAUUAUGGUUCAGGCUACUAGUUCAUAAACAGAAAAAACAUAAUAUAUAUUUUUAUCAUAAAUGUAGUUUCAUGCAUGAGUAGAUAUUGCUGUAAUUGGAAUUUUGAUUUCAUGUACCUGCAUUCUCUCCUUGUUAGCAUUGCAUAUUACUCUUCCCUUGUCCAGUAAUGAUGGAUUAAGUGGAUCUCAGUGAUUCUUAUAUUAAAAGAUGGGAGUUUUGUUAGUAUCUCUGAACUGUUGAUUCUAGUUCUUGGAGUUCGGGAACUCGUAAAUUUCCAUAUUUCCUUUUAUCUGGCUUUGCAAUUGCAUGUAAAUCUGUUGUUGAAGUUUUCAAUUGGAAAUGGUUUCUAUAUUUUUCUUGAA